UGCCAUACCAUGCUGAAUAUACCGGUUCUCGUUAGAUCACCGAAGUCAAGCAUCAUUGGGCGCGGUCAGUACUUGGGUGGGUGACUACAUGGGAACACGCGUGCCGUU